rnacentral:rRNA from 1 species
UACAGAGGUCUCAAGCGUUGUUCGGAUUUACUGGGCGUAAAGGGCGCGUAGGCGGCGCGACAAGUCACUUGUGAAAUCUCCGGGCUUAACCCGGAGCGGCCAAGUGAUACUGUAGUGCUAGAGUGCGGAAGGGGCUACUGGAAUUCUCGGUGUAGCGGUGAAAUGCGUAGAUAUCGAGAGGAACACCUGCGGCGAAGGCGGGUAGCUGGGCCGACACUGACGCUGAGGCGCGAAAGCCAGGGGAGCGAACGGG